UAGCAGCAAGAAAGUUUUUCAACUCUUUCUGCUUAUGGGCUAGGUUUAGCCCUCUAAUAUUCCAAAUGACUAUAAUCAUAGUAACAUGGAGUAUUGAUUAUGAGAGGGCCCUGGGUCAAUCUGUUGACCUCUUCUACCAGAAUGUAACACAUCAACAGCUGUCUUCCCUUUAUUGCAUUCAUCAAUCUUCCUGCACUGUUGUUCACUGUCAGUAUCUAUAGUCCUCUCC
rnacentral:lncRNA from 1 species